UUCAAAAUAGGUGCUGUGUAGAUGCUCCUUAUUUUGAAAUAAGCUACACAAUUGCCAUUGCUCAAAUUGUGUCACUUAUUUCGAGGUAAGCCUGCAGUGUAGACGCAUCAGAGUGUGGAAAAGGCAGCCCCAAAAGGGCAAAAGUCCUGCUUAUUAGAGGUGGGUGACUGCAUCCGGCAGGGAGCUGGCCCAGGAAGAUUGGGGCCAGCUGACUUCACAUCAGGCAUGCCAGAGGCCUUUAAAAGCCACCGCAGUGAGAAGAUUGCAGAGAAAUACAGUCCAUGGAACAGCUUUGGCCUACAAACUAAACAUGCAGACAUCUUCCACCCAAGGCCAAGACUCUCUUCUGAGGGGACACAGUGAACCAUCUGUUGCCUGACAUGACAGCCCAGGAGGUAUCAAGACAUUGGGGUGGUUGUCGAGGAUCACCCAGGUCUCUGACUGCUACCCCAUGCUGCUCAUCUGUGAGGGCACUAAUGAUACUGCCAGUCAAAGAUAAGGGCCCAGGCAAAGACAGAUGCAUCCUGGAGGUCAGUGCCUGGCUGCGAAGAUCAUCCCACCAGAAGGGUUUGGCCUCCUUGACCACAGGAUGCUGUUCCAUGAAGAAGGGUUGCUAAGCAGAGACGGGGUCCACCUAUCAAGGGAGGGGAAGAGAAUAUUUGGAUACAGACUAACCUAAUGACAACAGCUUUAAACAAGGUUCAACGAGGGCCACC